rnacentral:rRNA from 1 species
AUUGAACGCUGGCGGCAUGCCUUACACAUGCAAGUCGAACGGUAACGCGGGGCAACCUGGCGACGAGUGGCGAACGGGUGAGUAAUGUAUCGGAACGUGCCCAGUUGUGGGGGAUAACUGCUCGAAAGAGCAGCUAAUACCGCAUACGACCUGAGGGUGAAAGCGGGGGAUCGCAAGACCUCGCGCAAUUGGAGCGGCCGAUAUCAGAUUAGGUAGUUGGUGGGGUAAAGGCCCACCAAGCCAACGAUCUGUAGCUGGUCUGAGAGGACGACCAGCCACACUGGAACUGAGACACGGCCCAGACUCGUACGGGAGGCAGCAGUGGGGAAUUUUGGACAAUGGACGCAAGUCUGAUCCAGCCAUGCCGCGUGCGGGAAGAAGGCCUUCGGGUUGUAAACCGCUUUUGUCAGGGAAGAAACGCUCUGGGUUAAUACCUCGGGGUAAUGACGGUACCUGAAGAAUAAGCACCGGCUAACUACGUGCCAGCCGCCGCAGUAACAC